rnacentral:rRNA from 1 species
UGCCAGCAGCCGCGGUAAGACGGAGGUGGCAAACGUUGCUCGGAAUCACUGGGCUUAAAGGGCGUGUAGGCUGCUGAUUAAGUCGGAUGUGAAAUCCCUCGGCUCAACCGAGGAACUGCAUUCGAUACUGGUCGGCUAGAGUGCGAGAGGGGCAAGUGGAACUCCAGGUGUAGCGGUGAAAUGCGUAGAUAUCUGGAGGAACGCCGGUGGCGAAAGCGACUUGCUGGCUCGCAACUGACGCUGAGGCGCGAAAGCUAGGGUAGCGAACGGGAUUAGAUA